rnacentral:lncRNA from 1 species
CCAUAGAUUUCAUAUCAAACAAUGCUGCAGUGUCAAUGUAAUCAUUAAAACUUUGAAGUUGGCUUUCUGAAAGUUGUCUACCCCCCUCUUUUUCAUUUGUGUACCGAACAGUAUUAAAGUCUCCAAGAACAAUCCAAGGUACAUUGAGACAGCCAUUUACAAUAUUAGUCAGGUAAGACCAAAGAGUAUUUCUUUCUUGCAUACUGUUUGAAGCAUAUAUACCAGUGAAAUUGAAUUGACAGCCAUUCUUUUUGUCCUCUACCUUAAGAUGAAU